rnacentral:rRNA from 1 species
UACGUAGGCGGAAAAUUAAGUCAGUAGUGAAAUCCCACAGCUUAACUGUGGAACUGUUAUUGAUACUGGUUUUCUUGAAUAUAGUUGAGGUAGGCGGAAUGUGUAAUGUAGCGGUGAAAUGCUUAGAUAUUACACAGAACACCGAUUGCGAAGGCAGCUUACUAAGCUAUGAUUGACGCUGAGGUACGAAAGCGUGGGGAGCGAACAGGAUUAGAUACCCUGGUAGUC